ACUCCAGGCGGGACCAUGGCGUC
rnacentral:misc_RNA from 1 species